CCUACGGGAGGCUGCAGUGGGGAAUAUUGGGCAAUGGGCGCAAGCCUGACCCAGCAACGCCGCGUGAAGGAAGAAGGCUUUCGGGCUGUAAACUUCUUUUAAGAGGGAAGAGCAGAAGACGGUACUUGUUGAAUAAGACAAGGCUAACUACGUGCCAGCAGCCGCGGUAAUACGUAGGUGGCAAGCGUGGUCCGGAUGUACUGGGUGUAAAGGGCGGGCAACCGGGAAGACAAGUAAGAGGUGAAAUCCCGCGGCUCAACCGCGGAACUGCAUUUGAAACGGUUUUUCUUGAGUACCGGGGAGGUCAUCGGAAUGCCUUGUGUAGCGGUGAAAUGCGUAGAUAUAAGGAAGAACACCAGUGGCGAAGGCGGAUGACUGGACGGCAACUGACGGUGAGGCGCGAAAGCGUGGGGAGCAAACAGGAUUAGAUACCCUUGUAGUC
rnacentral:rRNA from 1 species